AGAAGUAUAGCUAAAUUGGUUAAAGCGUUUGUUUUUGAUACUUUUAAUUGUUGGUUCAAGUCCAACUACUUCUU
rnacentral:tRNA from 3 species